AUCUCUUCUCAGCCUUUUGGCUAAGAUCAAGGGUAGUAUCUGUUCUCAUCAGCUUAAUAAAAAUAGUGCAGGAGGGGCACCUGGGUGGCUCAGUCAGUUAAGCGUCUGACUUCAGCUCAGGUCAUGAUAUCACGGUUCAUGGGUUCAAGCCUCACAUCGGGCUCUGUGCUGACAACUCAGAGCCUGAAGCCUGCU
ensembl:snRNA U2 U2 spliceosomal RNA